rnacentral:misc_RNA from 1 species
UUUCCGUAGGUGAACCUGCGGAAGGAUCAUUACAGAGUUCAUGCCCUCACGGGUAGAUCUCCCACCCUUGAAUAUUUAUACCUUAGUUGCUUUGGCAGGCCGUGGAAGCACCAUGGGCUCCGGCUUAUGCGUGCCUGCCAGAGGAAACAAACUCUGUUUUUAGUGAUGUCUGCGUACUAUAUAAUAGUUAAAACUUUCAACAACGGAUCUCUUGGUUCUG